UCCUGGUUAGCUCAGUUGUUAGAGUACUCCACUGGAAAUGGAGUGCUCCCUGGUUCAAUACGGGACCAGGCG
rnacentral:tRNA from 1 species